rnacentral:rRNA from 1 species
CCUACGGGUGGCAGCAGUGAGGAAUAUUGGUCAAUGGCGGAGAGGCUGAACCAGCCAAGUCGCGUGAGGGAAGACGGCCCUACGGGUUGUAAACCUCUUUUGUCGGGGAGCAAAGCGAACCACGUGUGGUUCAUUGAGAGUACCAGAAGAAAAAGCAUAGGCUAACACCGUGCCAGCAGCCGCGGUAAUACGGGGGAUGGGAGCGUUAUCCGGAUGUAUUGGGUAUAAAGGGUGCGCAGGCGGAGGUGCAAGUCAGCGGUCAAAGUGCGGGGCUCAACCCCGUACUGCCGUUGAAACUGCAUCCCUUGAGUGCGCGAGAAGUAUGCGGAAUGCGUGGUGUAGCGGUGAAAUGCGUAGAUAUCACGAAGAACUCCGAUUGCGAAGGCAGCAUACCGGCGCGCAACUGACGCUCAUGCACGAAAGCGUGGGUAUCGAACAGGAUUAGAUACCCUGGUAGUC